rnacentral:sRNA from 1 species
CGUGAGGAGGCUGAGGCCUUCCGGUCGUGGGGAGGAGUCCGGGGAGCGGCCAAGCGGUGGUUUUCGUGGCGGACCUUCCUCGCUUCCGGGCCUCGCAGACACUUCUGACACGCCCCGGCUAGUUCCGGGAAGCCGGCAGCUGCUCAGCUAAAAUUCCGGUUUCCCGAGUAACUGCCUGGAAGGUGGUAAUACGCGGAACCUCCAAAUCGUGUGACAGAGCUGGGGACCAAACCCAGGGCCUUGCGCUUCCUAGGUCUUUGUGAGCACUUGAAAACUAUGAGAAAGAGAAGAAAGAGGAGAGGGAGCUUGGAUGUCCAUUUAUUCUGUCCCAGUCCUUAUCUAGGACUUCUCUGAGGCACAUGUCCAUCUAACUGCCCUCAUUACCAGCUUUUAAUACUGCAUUGCAAGUCGAAGUAGACAGGAUGCGAAGACCAUAGUGCAGAUGGUUCGUCAAUGAACGAAGGACUACAGAUUGACAUUAACUGUCACAACCCAGAAACAGCAGGAUUGGGUUGUGUCCACAAACAUCAAAGCAUUCAGAAACGAAAAAGCUGUUCUGUCUUUUUUUUUAUUUUGAUUUUUUUGUUCUUCUGGUUUCUUCUUUUAGAAACAAUACCAUGAUUUAAAACUUAUAAUUGAGUUGGGGACAUAGCUUCAUACUACAACAUCUGCCUAGCAAACACAAGGACCUGUGCUUGAAUUCCACAGUACCAAACAUCUACAACUAGCAGUCAUCUCUGUCAACUCCAGGAACUGAAUGUCAACUCUUAGACAUCCAUGGACCAAACAUUACAUCUUCCAGUCAUGUUUGAAGAUGGCAGAGAUCUGGAUUCUGUAGUCCCUCAGUAAACAUGAGUAGAGUAAUAAUGGAAAGCUGUGGUAUAUGACUUGUCUAGAAUUUUCUAUGAAUUCCCAUUUUGCUCUUAUGAACAGAUAAUGUUGAUCUGGCAGGAUUGCUCAGUGGGUACACACUUUUUACUGAGCUCGAUGGCAUGAACUUGAUCUCUGGGACCCACGUGGUAGCAGAAGAAUCAGUUCCUGCAAGUUGUCCUUUGACUUACAUAUGCACCAUGCAACGUGGGCACAUGCAUGCACACAUACUAGCUGUAAAAAAAAGUAGGGAAUUUAACAUACUCAGAAGUGUGAUUAACAUACUACACUGCCAAAACACUAUUAGAGUUCACAUUUUAAAGGAAAAUAAAAUACUAAAAUUACAUUGUCUCUCAGUGUUAUUAAACAAAAUAGUCCCAAAGAGCUAUAUUAUCUAAUGGAAUAUUCCUUUAUAUAACAAAGGCAAGGUAUGUGUAGGCACAUGUUCCCAAGGCUUAUGAAAUCUGUGAGACUGUAACUUUCUAUAGGAGUAUAGUAGGAGAUUGCAAGUGGAGAUGAUCAGAUUCAAAGGGAUGUUGUAGAAAAGUAGCCACAUUCUAACUCUGGGAGGUUUUCUUUGAGGUACUGGGAAAUUGGCCAGGUACUGAAUUUGGCCAGGACUUUCUGACUAAAAUAAGCCCAUUCCCUUUAUUCUGUUCUUUUUAUUUUGGGGUUUUGGUUAAUAUGUUUUAUUUUUUGAGACAAGUCUCUGUCUCUCUCUCUCUCUCUCUCUCUCUCUCUCUCUCUUCAUUGUAGCUUUGGUUGUCCUGGAACUGUAUAUGUACACUACACUGACUUUGAACCUGCAGAGAUCCACCUGCCUCUGCCUCCCAGUACUGAAAUUAAAGGCAUACACCACAAUACCCUGCUUUAAGGGAAAAUUUUUUCUUCUUUUCUUUUUUUUGGAGCUGGGGACCGAACCCAGGGGAAAAUUUUUUUCUAGUUUUGUUUGCUUUUCUUUCAGACAGGGUCUCCCUGUGUAGCCCAUGCUGGACAGAAUUUGAGGCCUUCCUGUAUUAGUCUUCAGUGUGCUGGACAUCACUAUGCCUGACUCAGUUCAGCGAACUUUUAAAGGGACCAUCAUAUAGCAGUUAGCACCAUAGGCUUCAGAACAGGAAACCCACAAAUUAUAUGACCUUAAGCAAUGUAUUUUAUGAACUUGAUAUCUCAUCUGAAUAUAAAAUAGUAACUAUUUCCUCCACUGGGUUGUAACAAAAGGCUAAGUUCAUGUAAAGGACUCACAUCAUAUAGAACAUAGAAGCACAAAGCUUAGUUUAGGUCUGGUCUACACAGUGGUUCCCAGGACAGCCAGAGCUACAUAGUGAGACCCUGUCUCAAACCCAAAUAAAUAAACUACCAAAAAUGCCCUUAGCCCUACUCUGUACCGUCCCAUCUACCUUUUUCUUAUGUUUUAUUCCCUUCUUUGUGUAACUUUGUCAAAGUUUGCUCUUAGAGCUGAAAAUUCAAAGCCCAAUUCCUGUCUCCAGCCUACUUGUUACUUUGAAAAUGUUUUAUUCACUUGAUGUAAUAUUUUGCAAAGGAGACUGUGACAGGUUGCUUGCUUUACUGUUUUGAUUGAACAUCCAGAACUUAUAGAGCCUCACACAUUCUAUGCAGCUGAACUACAGUCCCAUAUUUUAGAAUUUUUCUAUCCAUC